AAAGCAGUCGGUGGAUGCCUUGGAUGUAUUAGCCGAAGAAGGACGUGCCAGGCCACGAUAGGCGUCGGGGAGCUGCCAAGAAGCUGUGAUCCGGCGGUGUCCGAAUGGGAAAACCUCCUCAUUAGUAAUAGUGGGGGCCCCGACAGCGCAAGCUUGUCGGGGGGGGAACCCGGGGAACUGAAAUAUCUAAGUACCCGGAGGAAAAGAAAUUAAAUAAGAUGCCGUCAGUAGCGACGAGCGAAAGCGGUCUAGUCCAAACUCCGACAUUACGUCGGAGGGUUGUAGGGCUCCAAUAUGGGACUACGAGAGAUAGUCGAACAACUCGGAAUAGUUGGCCAAAGAAAGUGAAAGCCUUGUAGAUGAAAUUUUGAGUAGCUCUAGGAGAUUCCUGAGUACCACGAGAGACGGCAAACUCUUGUGGGAAGCCGGGGCGACCACGCUCCAAGACUAAAUACUAAUACAUACCGAUAGUGAACAAGUACCGUGAGGGAAAGGUGAAAAGAAGGGUCGAUGACCCAGUGAAAUAGUACCUGAAACCGAUUGCUAACAAACAGUGGGAGGGCCGACGUAAGUCGAGCCUGACCGCGUGCCUAUUGAAGAAUGAGCCGGCGAGUCUUUGCUGGUGGCAAGGUUAAGUCGCUUGAAGCGACGGAGCCAUAGUGAAAGCGAGCCUGAAUAGGGCGAUUAGUUGCCAGCAGAGGACCCGAAGCCGAGCGAUCUAUUCAUGAGCAGGGUGAACCUCGAGUGAUAUCGGGGGGAAGCCCGAACCUGUGUAUGUUGCAAAAUGCUAGGAUGACUUGUGAAUAGAGGUAAUAUGCCAAACGAGCUCGGAGAUAGCUGGUUCUCCCCGAAAUAUAUUUAGGUAUAGCCUUUCCUUAUUUAGGCGCAGGGGUAAAGCACUGGAUGGGCAUUAGGGACUUGUCUCUGAUGCUCAACCAAACUCUGAAUACUGCGUUGAUAACGGAAGGAGUCAGUUGCUGGGGGCUAAGCUCCAGCCGCAAAAGGGAAACAACCCAGAUCUCCAGCUAAGGUCUCUAAAUCACUUGCUUAGUUUGUAAGGAGGUCGUAGUCCUUAGACAGCCAGGAAGUCGGCUUAGAAGCAGCCAUCUUUGAAAGAAAGCGUAACAGCUCACUGGUUGACGGAAGACGGCGCCGAAAAUUUAUCGAGGAUAAAGCAGUGUACCGAAGCUGAGACCCCGACAGCGCAAGCUUGUCGGGGGGUAGGGGAGCGUUCUAAGGGCAGUGAAGGGCCGAUGUAAAUCGCGCCUGGAGCGCUUAGAAGUGAGAAUGCCGGCAUGAGUAGCGGAACUCCGGUGAGAAUCCGGAGGGUCGAAAGUCCGAGGUUUCCUACGCAACGUUCGUCGGCGUAGGGUUAGUCGGGCCUAAGGCAAGCCCCGUGUAGUGCGGGGGUAGUCGAUGGACAACAGGUUAAUAUUCCUGUACCGGUGACCAAUCGUUAUUCCCGACGCAAGUCGGGAUAAACAGCUGGGGUGGGACGGAAUUUGAGAAGUCGAGCGUCUUAUUGAUUUGACGUCUAAAAGGCGAGUCAGUCCCGAUGUGAAAAUCAGUCGGGACGACGGCGAGUCUUGAUGGAGAGUUCUCCUUUGGGAGAGCAAUUCGACCGGCUUAAGUUUCCGAGAAAAGCAUCGCAGCGAGAAGGGUCACCGCCCGUACCGCAAACCGACACAGGUGGACAAGUCGAGUAGACUAAGAUCAGCGGAAGAACGGUGGUUAAGGAACUCGGCAAAUUAGCUGGGAGUAAUUUUGAGAGAUUCCCUGUCCGACGUUACGUCGGACCGCAGCGAAAGAGUGCCAAGCGACUGUUUAACAAAAACACAGGUCUAUGCAAAGGCGCAAGCCUAGGUAUAUGGGCUGAAACCUGCCCAAUGCCGGAAGGUUAAUUGAGAGGGUGACGUCCGACUUCGGUCGUGACCGAGCCUUCGAUCGAAGCCCCGGUGAAUGGCGGCUUUAACUAUAAGAGUCCAAAGGUAGAAUCGCUGCCUUUGUAAAAUUUUGCUAUAUGCUGGAAACUCCGAGAAUCUUGAACUACUGCCUGUUUAUGUGUAAUACUACACAUAAUGGGAAGUAAAAAAGUUACAAGUGCGGACAAUCAGCAGGAAAGGCUAAAAACGAUUGGUUGGAUAGUUGGUUUCACAGAUGGUGAUGGUUGUUUUUGUAUUUCGAUAAACAAAAACCACAGAUUAAAACUUGGUUGGCAAGUGGUUCCUGAGUUUGUAAUAACUCAAGGAGAGAAAAGCCUAGAGAGCUUAAAACUUGUUAAAAAGUUUUUUAAAUGUGGAAGAAUCUUUAUUAAUCGAAGACAUGACAACCAUAAGGAAGACCUUCAUAGAUAUUGCGUGAGAAGUAUAGCUGACUUAGAAGAAAAGAUAAUUCCUUUCUUUGAGAAAAAUCAGUUAAAAACCUACAAAAGAAAAUCAUUUGAGACUUGGAGUAAAGCAGUGAAGUUGAUGAUAAACAAAAGACUUCAUUUAAGUAUGAAAGGGAUUAGAAAGUUAGCAGAAAUGUCAGCGGAGAUAAACCAACAGAAACGACCAAAGUUUUUAGAAUCCUCAGAGACUAUACGCAGAAGUCCCGCUAAGCGGGAUAAGAUAUAGUCCGAUCUCAUAAGCGAUUAUGAGUUAACAUUAUUAAGAGCGAAGUACCUUGUCGGGUAAGUUCCGACGCGCACGAAAGGUGUAACGACUUGGCAACUGUCUUGACCACUGAUCCGGUGAAAUUGAAAUGGCUGUGAAGAUGCGGCCUAUUGACUGCAGGACAAAAAGACCCCGUGGAGCUUUACUAUAACUUGACAUUGGUUUAUUUAAGUUGAUCGUCUAGGAUAGGCGGGACCCCGACUUUAUGUCGGGGGCCAGUGUAAUACCGCUCGUUAACUUGAGUAAAUCUA
rnacentral:rRNA from 1 species